AGAGCAAUGGGUAAUCCAUCAACCGGUUAUUUGUCAGAUGGAAGGAAAGGGGAACGCAGGACAGAGGAAGUUUCUGGAGCAGCAGUUCUCAAAGAGUGAUAGCUGGACCAGCAGCAUCGGCAUCACCUAAGAACUCAUUAGAAGGGCACCUUUUGGGGCCUUCGGCUGUCCCAGGCCUUCUGAGCCAAUAAUUACAUCACAAACACUGAGGCUGGAACCAGGCAACCUAUAUAUUAACAAAUCCUGCAAGUGAUUCCGGUGGAGCUCAAGUUCAAGAACCAGCCAUCCAGAAUAACCUCCAGGAUUUUGCCUCCGAUUCCUGGGAGGAAGCCAGCAGAAGCAUGGUUCUCUGAGAAGACAACAGAGGAUGUUCCGAUCUCCCGCUCCUGGAGGAGUGCCCUGUGGUCUUGGUGGAGUCACUUACCAGCCUGUGCCUCAGUUGCCUCAUCUGUGGACUGGAGAUAAUGUGAUAAUAGAGCUCACCGAUUGUUGUGGAGAUUAAGUGCUAUAAUAUAUGUGAAAUGCUUAGAACGGUGCCUUGUGCACGAUAAAGCCUAUGUAAGUA